rnacentral:ncRNA from 1 species
AAGGAUAGAGGAGCAAAAACCAUUAGUACACAAUUGGAGGAUAAUGAGAUCCGUUGAUGAUUGUGAAAAGGGGGAUUUGCCGAAGUGGAGAGAACCUCAUUUUUCUCGAAGCUGGUUCUGUUGUUGAAUAAAUACAGAACUGUCAUGUAGUUAUCUAUAUGGAGGGCUAUCA